CAGCCGGGAGCGGGGCGGGCUGGAGGACGCGGGAGGCGGGACCCGGGGAGAACAAAGGCCGGAGAUCGGGACCGUUCUCCGCGGGGGAGCAGCCCCGGGCUCUGCCCCCGUCCGCUCCGGAGCCCCCGGGGGAAGCGCUGGGGCCGGGCAGGAAAGUGACUCUCUGCCCCGGGGAGCCCCAGCCGCUGCAGCCCCCGGGGAUCGGCCCCCGGCACGGCUGCGGGGGGGCCGAGACUGGGGCCCGGCGGGGGGGCAUCAGGAGGGGAGAAGCCGGAGUGGGGGGGUUGCGCUGUCUCUGUGCCCCCAGGACAUGCCGGGGGAAGGGGCAGAAGGGGGCUAAACGCAGGGACUGACCUGCCCGGGGAGAUUCCCCGGUCACGAAGGCUGCAGAAUGACACCCACGUCUCGCUCCAGUUCAUCCCGUCCUCCCAUGGGACAGGGGAGAGAAAUGGCUGCAGAGGAGCCAGCUCAGGGGCCGGUGACCUUCGAGGAGGUGGCUGUGUAUUUCACCAGGGAAGAGGGGGCUCUCCUGGACCCC